AGUUCGUGGAGUAAUCUGUCUGGUUAAUUCCGAUAACGAACGAGACCUUAUCUUACUAAUUGGGGUAUGUAUUCUAUACAGUAUCUCUCUUAGAGGAACGGUGCAUAUUUAAUUGCAAGGAAGCGUGAGGCAAUAACAGGU
rnacentral:rRNA from 1 species